rnacentral:snRNA from 1 species
CUGCUUGUUCAGCACCAUAUAUACUAAAAUUGGAGUGAUACAGAGACUAGCAUGACCCCUGAGCAAGGAUGACAUGCAAAUUUGUGAAGCAUUUCAUAUUUUU